AUGGGAGGAAGGAUGGGAGGAAGGACGUCAGACCAGGAGCCUGAGGGCUGGCAAGUGCACAGAAGGGGAGACCAGGAAGGAAGGCUCAGACAGAGUGUGGUGGGUCUGUCCUCGGGGACCCUUCCGCCUGUGAGCUGCCGGUGGGCCCGGAGGAGGGACGGGCUGGCAGGUGAUGUGUAGAGGGAACUGUGGCCUUGCUGGGUGUGGGGCAGCUGUGAGCAGGAGCACCUUGCACAGGAGCCACAGAACGUGGGCUGGUGUGACCUAGGGAAAGUGUGAGUCCAAGUAAUUGGCUCAUUCAGUUGCUGUGUGUGUGUGUGUGUGUGUGUGUGUGUGCGCGCACGCGCACAUACCGUGUUCUUCCUCGCUGGGUAAGGAGGCUGUGUUAAUUUCCCAGCACUGCCGUAUUACCGCAAACCUGGUGGUUUAGAACAACACGGAUUUAUUCUCCUAGAGUUCUGGAGACUGGACGGCUGAGAUGAAGGUUGAGGCUCUGGCUUUUCCAUCAGAAGCACAUGAGACCUGCUUGGGAACGUCACCCCAGGGUGCUGGCCACUCCCGUAGACCACAGCCUCUGUUCCUGAGGGAAAUGUCCUCGCACUCAAACACAACAACCACGCAGUGCUGUUACACAGCCCCGUGGGGAGACAGGGCAUUUUUCUGGAGCUGCCGGCGAGAACAGUCAGAGCAGCAUGGGAGGAAGAGUUGAUGCCUUCUGGAGCUUCUUGCUGGGGGUGCAGCCCUCCUCGGAUGUCAACUUCUUCUCUCCUCUCUGUCCUCUGUUGUCGUCCUUUCCAAUGAGAAGGCAGCUGAGUGUUUACUCCAGGCUUGCGCCUGCCGCUGGCUGAACCAGGAGGACUCGGAGCCCAGCCCUGCCCUUUGGUUCAUUUGUCUCGGUAGCAAGGCACCUGCCACUGUGCUGGGCACAUAGUAGGUACUCCAUCAGUGCUGCAGGGUAAGGGCAAGCAGGGCAGGGGAGGAACAGGAAAGAAUGCGGAGUUUGAUGCAGAUAGAGCAUGGCUUCUUUCCCUAGGCCCCUUGGUAGGUGAGGCAGGACAUGGGGAGGCUGAGAUAGGCAGCUUCCCCAUCCCCACUGCAAGGAUCUGUGCUCUUCUGGAAUCCUAGUCCUUGAAGUUCCACCAUUGAGGAGUAAUUCCCUUGUGCCAAACAGGACCUCAUCCUCUGCCCACAGUUCUUAUUUAAAAAGGCACUUGUUCUGGGGCAACUGGGUGGCUCAGUUGUUAGGUGUCUGACUUUCGCUCAGGUCAUGAUCCCAGGGUCCUGGGAUC